CACAGCAAGGACCGGAGAGCGGGGACGUCGACAAGUAUUUGACUCAAGGUUACAGGGAACUGAUCACUUCUUUCUCCCCUUUGUAUUUCCCAUAUACCAAUGGCUCCUUCUUCACAGGAAAAUAAGAGGAAAAGAGCAGGGACCUACAGAUCUGAAUCUGGCAUCAGAUGGAAGGGCAAGAGAAACUCUAGAUUAGUCAAAAGGGAGGCCGGGGGCCACCCCUCCAAUCGGCCUUGCCAAUCGGGGCUGACUGGGGAGGAAUAGAAUGGCAGGCUUAGCCAGGGAGAGGGCCUGACCCAGCACCCCACAUCCUCUGUGGCCUCAGUGUGACCUGUAAGCAGUCCAGGAGCUUCCUUUGUCCCAGAGGGAAUAGCUGCGGCUGGCUGGCUGGGGAGUUCACCGUUUGGGGUAACACAGUGAUCCUGAGGAAGGGAGCCCGAGCCCGGCUAUCAAGCUGGGUGUCAAUGGGAGUCACAGCCAUAAGUAAUGGGAGCAUCAGAAAUGUGGAGGUGGGGUGCUCAGGAACAGCACAGCUGCUUAGAGCCCCCUGCGGGGCUGCUGAGAGCACAGUAGCAGGUGGGUGGGGGCUGAGGCGGUGAGGCUGGCCGCCCUGGCCACCGGCAGGCCCAACGAGGCCCGGCACCGCUCGCAGAGGCCUAGCUGGACCGGAGCCUCCUCCCAGUCCCAGGCCGCUGCAUGCACCCACACCUUGGGGACACUCCGCUCCUUCUGCACCCUCUGGCCUUCCUGGGAAGGAGGAGAUGGAAGAGGUACCACCUGAAAGGAAAGAAUCAGCCCUGACGGCACCCAGCAGAUGUUAAGGAACAGACAACCUAAAGGCUACAGAGGGAACCAAUCACCAGAACUCAGUCCUGUAACGGAAGUGAGGCCGGAAGAAAGAGAACAGGGCAGGAGAGGCACAGAACGUAACAAGAUUCACGCUGCCCAGAGCUGGGAGGAAAAGCAAUACUGCCAAGACCAGCCUGCCUCAUCAGACCUCUUUGAUGUGUGUUUUGGGAUCCCUGUAUUGAAUGAAACUUUGGAAGUUUUCAUGGAUGCUGGAAGCAAGAAGGGAUGGAAUAAAAAGCUCGAUUCAGUAAAUUUAAUUCUGUGGUCAGGGCUUCAUCUCCCUCCUCACUGGGCUGCAACCACCUUCCUAGUCUCAUCAGUGAGCAGUGAAGAGAGCCACAUCCUGGAAUGGGUCCAUGCUCUAUCAAGAAGGAUCUAGGUGGCCUGAAGAAGUGCUGACUUGAAGCGGGGCCACAGCUGCUCUCAGCUGGCUUGACUGAUGCAGAAGCCUAACUGGAGCCGGACCACGCACAAUCCAGGUGCACUACGGGAACAGCUGUC